UGACGAGUGGCCGAGGCGGGAUUCGAACCCACGCCCUCUGACUCCCAAGCCCGGGCUCUUUCCACUGAGCUACGCCGAGAAAUAAUAUCGCUGCGGCCCAGGCAGCGUAGAAACGGCCUCUCCGAGCACCCGCUAGAUACGACUGCUCGGUUGCCGCUCUGUGCACCGAACGCGAGAGACCACCGUACUAAACGCCGGGGCCGGAACGACCACCCGUGUUGUACUGAACGUUCCCUGCCCCCGGAGAGCUGAGAGUUUAAUCAUCUCCCCGGGGCGCUGUACUGAACGCUCGGGAGAGCGCAAUCGACGGACGCAGUCCUGCCCACAACGAGCUCGCGGUUUAGGUCGGGGCGACGGGCAUCGAUAUGAAGAAAUAAAACCUACGCACGGCACCUAGAACGACGCUUAGCGUACGAGGAGAUCACUGAGGCCCAGAGAAGUGAAGCGACUGGCCC